rnacentral:rRNA from 1 species
ACGGAGGGUGCAAGCGUUAAUCGGAAUUACUGGGCGUAAAGCGUGCGCAGGCGGUUUGUUAAGUCUGUUGUGAAAUCCCCGAGCUCAACUUGGGAAUUGCAAUGGAUACUGGCAGGCUGGAGUACGGUAGAGGAAGGUGGAAUUCCCGGUGUAGCAGUGAAAUGCGUAGAGAUCGGGAGGAACACCAGUGGCGAAGGCGGCCUUCUGGACCAGUACUGACGCUCAUGCACGAAAGCGUGGGGAGCAAACAGGA